AGAGAUUCCCACCUCAGGAAAAUGAAGCUGAUUUAAAUAGAACAGCAGCAAUGGUAUCCAGACCCUGCUUCCAGGGAAGAUACUGAAUCUUUUUCAUCACUGUCCUGCGCCUUCUUCCAAACCGAAUAGAGGCCAGUAUGGAAAUGCUAUUUCCUAUCCAGCUGCUUUUGAAAGUCUUCAUACUCCUAGCUAACCAGAACAAGGAGGGUCCCUGAGGCCGGAGAAGCCUAUGGAAGACUCUUCCCCCAAAGAGUGGUCCAGUUCAGAAAGUAUCCUUUAACAUUCCCAGGCCUAAAAUCCUGUCACAGUCACAGCUAAUGUCUAUGGCAGCUGUGCAGUCUUGAUUUCCCUGGAUGGGCCGGUUUUUUAUUUUUUUGAAACCCUUAGCUUCUGUCUCAGGAUCAAUACCGUGUUCAAGGAAGAAGGGUGGUAACAGAAAUCACAAGAUUAUCUCAAAAGAUGCAGAAAAAGCCUUGGACAAAAUACAACACUCAUUUCUAUUGAAAACACUAGAAAGUAUAGGAAUACAAGGGCCUGCCCCCAAGGCAGAAGAGCCCUAAGGGCUAGACAAUGGAAGUUAGGUAACUUGCCCAGGGUCACACAGCUAGGAAGUGUCUGAGGUCAGAUUUGAACCCAGGAAGUCCUGUCUGGGCCUGACUCUCAGUCCACUGAGCCAUCCAGCUGCCCCUGAUUUUUUAAAAUAAAGUAUACUCCUAGCAAACUUUAACAAAAAUGAAUAUCUUUUUGUCAGAUUAAGCUUUUGGCCCAGAAGGUGUGCCUUGAGAAUAUAGGAUCUUCUGUUUCACUCAUUAGUAUAUCCCUGCCCCAAGCUGACUAAGCCCUCUGGGGACAAGGCACUGGGCUCAUGCUUCUUUGACUCAGACCAAAAGUUUAGCCCAGGCUGGGCAUUCAAUGAAUAUUUGUUUAUCCACUGCUUGAUUUGGUGAGUGAAUAUGGGGAAGAGGCUGUAUUAGAUUGAGGCCUCCUCGGAAGCAGGGGUCUUAUCUAUCUUCUUGUCUCCAUCACUUGGCACCAGGGUAGAAGCUUGACUGAAUGAACACCCCAAGGGCAGGGGCUGUGCACCUUGCAAAUGACAGUACCCAUCCAAACACAUACCGCCAUUGUCACUCAGGGUCAGAGCUAGAAAGGGCCUUUGAAUACACUCUGUAUAGUCCAGUCCUCUUGAUUUAUAAAAGAGGAAAACUGAGCCUUGAGAAAAAGUGAGUGGCCAUGGCUGCACAUCAAAUUAGUGUCAGAGGCUGGCCUGGAGCCCAUGUCUACUGGCACAAGUCAAUGCUCUUAUCCCUUUCUGUGUAGACUUGCUGAUCCUGACUCAGCAUCUCUCUAUGCUAGGUUCUGUGCAAAGAAAUUAAGAAAUGGCUUUGGCCAGUGGUGUAAUAGAAAUACUUUUGGCCUUUUUCAUGAAGGCCUGAAUUCAAGACCUGUCAUUUCCACUUACUAGCUAUAUAACUUUGGGGCAAAUAACUUCUUUUCUUUUCUUUCUUUUUAUUUUUUUAAACCCUUAUCUUCCAUCUUAGAAUCAAUACUGUGAAUUGGUUCCAAGGCAGAAGAGCAGUAAGGGCUACGCAAUGGGGGUUUAAGUGACUUGUCUAGGGUCACACAGCUGGGUGAAGUGUGCAAGAUUAGAUUUGAACCCAGGACCUCCCUUCUUGUCCUGGCUAUCAAUCCACUGAACCACCCAGCUGCCACCAAGUCAUUUCUUUUCUUUGGUUCUCAGGCUCCUCCUCUGUUGAAUGAGCAGAUUGGACAGGAUGUGGCCGAAAAGGCCUUUCCAUAUCUGACAUUUAAUAAGUUGAUGAGAAUAUGGAUGCUUAAAGUGUGGAAUGAUAUACCCAUAUUCAUCCAUUGCUGGUUGAUGGCUUGCCACUCUCUUUUGGCUUCUCUUUGCCAGCAGAUGGGGCUAUGAGAAUAUAUAUAUUUUUUAAACCAAAAGGUUAUCAGGGCAAGACUGAUCAUUUAAUGAACCCAUUGAAAGACUCACUGGCAAAAUCCUUUAUUCAUUCAACAAAUACUAUGUGCCUAGCACUGUGCUGGUCUCUCAGAGGGCAGUGGGAUGGAAAAAAAACUAUUGAAGAAUUAAUCAAUCAGCAAUAAUUUAUUAAGAGCCUACUAUGUGCUAGGCUUAGAAGAAACUGCAGUCUUGGCUUUAAGAGACUUAUACUUUGGGGGGCAGCUGGGUAGCUCAGUGGAUUGAGAGCCAGGCUUAGAGAUGGGAGGUCUUGGGUUCAAAUUUGCGCUCAGAUACUUCCCAGCUGUGUGACCCUGGGCAAGUCCCUUAACCCCCACUGCCUCACUUUACCACUCUUCUGCCUUGGAACCAAUAUACAAUGUUGAGUUGAGGAUGGAAGAUAAGGGUUUAAAAAAAAGGAGAGACUUAUACUUUGAAAAGCCCUAUUCUUUUCAGUAUAUCUUCAUAAAAUAAUAAUAGUAAUACUAGCUAGCAUUUACAUAGCACCUUAAGGUUCGCAAAGCACUUCAUGCCUAUCUCUGAAAUCUGGCCUCAGACACUUCCUAGCUGCAUGACCCUAGGCAAGUCACUAAAUUCAACUGCCUAGCCCUUACUAUUCUUCUGUCUUAGAAGUCACCUAGAUUCUAAGGCAGGAAGUAAGACUAAAAAAGCAAACAAACAAAAAAACCCCAAAGCUAUCUUAUUUGAUCCUCACAACUUUGGGAAAAUGGGUGCUAUUAUUAUCUCCAUUUUACAGAUGAAACUGAGGCAAAUAGAGGUUAAAUGACUUGCCAAGGGCCACACAUCUAGUAGAGGUCAAAGGCAGGAUUCUGACUCAGUUCCUUCUGGUCUCCAAGUCUAGGACUGUAUCCCCAGCAUGUGCUAGUUGUCCCUGCUGCCCCAUACCCUUAAUUCUUCCAGCUGUCCAGCAGUUCAGACACGAUCUGACCUGAUCUGUUUACAGACGGAGAUCAUUUUUUUCUGCGUCUUAUCUUCACUAACAGGACACAAAGAACUGUUGUUUAGCUGUUCCCCACUACUUGGGGUUAAUAAUGCUGGGGAUCCCAGGCCAAAGAAUAUAUCCCCUCAAGCCAGACGUCAGCUCUGGAGGGUGCGCUGUUUGGGAUUACCUGAAGCACUGGGCCUUCCAGGGUGGGUGGAGAUCAGAGAGCUCCGGCCGCUCAGCCGAAUCUCCCAGAAAGCACUCACCUGCUCCCACAGACUUCCUAUCUGUGUCUGGCUUCUCUCCUCUUCCAACCCUGCUGCGUUUUCCUAGCACAGACCCAGAACAAUCCCCGCCUCUUAUGCAUUUCUUCCCAGCUGCCUUCAAAGCAUCUUUGGUUCAAGAGGCGGUGUGAGGUAAAGGGCAUUAACUGCUAUCUUCCAGUCUGAGGUAGGCUUUGGUGAACCACUGCCUCUGAACCCAUUUCCUCCUCCACAUAAUGGGCGGCCCUCUUGCUGCCGCCAGCCGAGGACACUGUGGCCAGAGGCGACGGAGCCUAACCAAGGUUGUGCUCUGGUGGUCAGCAGCAGAGCUGGGUCAGCCAUGUCCUCUGACUCCUAAUCCAUGCGCCCUCUCCAUGGAGCCAUUUCUGCUUCCCGCACAGGAGCCCAGGGAGGAAGGUGCUUUGUAAAUGCUAAAGGGCUACACAAAUGCGGGCCGCCACCAUGCAGACUGUUAUCCUGGGAGGACAGGCCUGGGUGACGGUGGGCAGGCCCCGCACGGAGGGGGGAAAGGAAGUAAGAAAGAUGGAGUUAAGUCAGGGAGGCUUGGGGCGAGCGCUUACAAACCUGUCGGGGCCGGCCGAUGGUGUGCAGGGAAACCUCUUAUCUUCAUGGUCACAUGUUAUCUGCCGCUGGUCACCAGCUGGGUCUGCUCCCUACACCCUUCCCAAAGAUCAGCUGUGCAGUAUGGUGUAGAGAGCAUGGAAAGCCAGCCAGAGAGUCAUGAAGACUGGGGGGUUUUCCACCUCAUACAUACUGGCUCAGUGACCCUGGCGGAGACCCUGAACCUCAGGGUGUGUGGGUCAGCGGCCUCAAGGGGUCAUUAACCAGGGCUAUGCGGGAGGGAGGAUGGGAUUCCAUCCCACCCUCCCGGAGCUGUUUCCAACAUAGUGACAACCACUUACCCUCAUCCCCCCCCCCCAAUACUUUCCUCUGCUGUGGAAUUCCCAACUGUCCCCAUUCCGAGCCGAGCAUUUGCUCCUCAAAGCGGCUGUAACAUAAUUGCAGCCCAGCAAUCACUGCCACCGCCCUGCAGAUGCCAUUGGGAAAACUCCCCUUUUCCCCAGAGAUCACCUCACACUAUGGGAGGUGACCCUCAGAGGGGGGCUCUGCCAUCCUACCUCUUAUUCAUUUUAGGGGGGACAGAGCGAGUCCCACAGGAUGACCAGACAUCUGAUCUGCAUAGUAGCAUUAUCUUUCCCCCCACAAUUCCUCCAUCUUCCCAGACUUCCUGGUCACCCAGCUUUUCGGCCCAGCGCCACCUCUGACACCUAGUUCUUCUUCGUCCCUCAUUUCCAGCCGGUAGCCGAUCUUGUCACUUCCCCCCCAGAACACCUCUUCAAUCUGUCCCCUUCUCCAACCUCCUGACUUCGAGUCCUCAUCAAGUCCUUGGACUAUUGCAGUAGCCUCCAAUUGGUCUCUCAGCCCUUGCCCCUCUUCUAGCCAUCCUCUGCAUGAUUCCCAAAGAGAGCUUCCUAAAGCACAGUAUGAUCAUGUCAUCCCCCUUAGUAGCUCCCUAUUGAUUCUAGGAUCUAAUGUUAGUUCAUCUUUAUCUUGGAUAGCAUUAUUAGUAUAGCAAUACCUGUAUGUGAUUUUAAAAUAAGUAAAUAUACACAUAUCUGGAGUGUGUGCUGGGAACAUUUUUACUGAGGGGUGCAGCUAGGUGGCUCCAUGGAUUGAGAACCAGGCCUAGGGAUGGGGGGGUCCUGGGUUCAAAUCAGACACUUCCUAGUUGUGUGACCCUGGGCAAGCCUAACCUUCACUGCUUUUCUAUCUUGGGAUGUACACCCAGGACUAAUUCUAAGAUAGGAGGUAAGGGUUCUAACUUUUUUUUUUUUACCGAGAUGAGUGUAUAAUCCAAAAAGUCUGGAGCCCCACUGGGCUAGGCAAUUUGCACUGUAAGCUUCAGAGUACUUCCUCUGUUGUCCUGGGAGAGGAAAUUUCCUCACAAGAAGGUCUCUGAAAUUAUUGGUCUAUUAAAAAAAAAAAGCCAGGGAAGGGGAGCCACCAGGUUAAGGAAUAUGGAAGGAAAAGAAUCUAGACUUUGCCGGUCAGUCCUAGACUUUAGAGCUGGAAGUGACCACAGAGAUCAAUUUAGUCCAACCCUUUCAUUUUACAGAAACAGGUCUAUGGAAGUUAAGGAAUGCUCCCAAGGUCAUAUGGGUAACAAUUAUCACAACCAGCAUCCAGACCCAGAUGCUCUGAAGAGAAAUCCAGUGCUUUAGAUAUUUUGUCCUAAUUUGUAACUGAAGCCAAAGUAAGCAGGAGCAGGAAGGAAAAGAAGGGAGGGAGAAAGGAAGGAGAGUGGGAGGAAAGGGCGAGAGAAAUAGGGAGAGGGAGAAAAGGAGGGAGAAAUGAAUAGAGAGGGAGGGCAAGAGAGGAAGAGAGUAAUAGAGAGGGAGAGGGAGAAAGAUGGAGAAAAAAUGGAUAGGGACAGGGAGAGAAAGAGGGAGAGAGGAAUAGAGGGGGAGAGAAAAAAGGGAUGGAGAGAAAGGGAAGAAUAGAAAAGAAGGCAGGAGAAAGGGAAAAGGGAAAAGAGAGGAGAGAGGACAAGUGAAAGAGAGGGAGAGAGGAAAAGGAGAAGAUGAAGAGAGAAGAGGAAGAGGAAAGAAAGGGACGGGAGAGACAGCAGCCUCAUAAUGACCAAGAUAUAAGGGUGCUAGUUUUGGAGUCAGAGGGCCUGGGUUUGAAUCUUGCUGUCACUUUCUAACUGUGUAUCCCUUGCAAGUCACAACUUGCUUGGUCCUGGCUACUCAUUGUAAAAUGGUGACACUGUUCUGGAUGACUACUGAGGUUCCUUUUAGCUCUAAAUUUAUGAUUCAUGGACAUGGGAAGACUAGGAAGGGAGCUGGAAACUAUUCUUGUAAUAUAGUACAGGGGGACCAGAGGAAAAAACCAAAAUUGCUUGCUCUUAAUUAUUCCAGGGGUAACCUCAGCCAGCACUUUAGCCUUUUCAUUCCUCUUUCACAUCUAAAAUCUUACUUGAUAAAAAUCCCGAGGGAUGGAGGACAUCUGCCCACUUAGAUUUUUUUUUUUUAAAUCCUAUUUUACAGUUGGGGAAACAGCCUUAGUAAGGUUAAAUGAUAGUCAGGCAAGCGGCAGAAAUUACCCUAAAAUUCAGGUCUCCAGAGCCCAGUUGAGUCUUCUUCUCCCCUGGUGGCCUUGCUAAGCUGCUAAGCUGCCCAUCUACCCAUCUGGCAUCUCAUUGCUGGGGGCCCCUUUCUCUUUUCAGAUUUUGUUGUACCAAAGGUAACUAUUAAGAAGGUUAAAACCUCCUAUUAGAGAAAUUUGAGAGCAUGUCAUUUAUAUCACAGGUAUAGGUUGCUUUAUGCAAUCGAUGAGUUCUUGAAAUAUUUAUGCAAACUGAAUUAUAUAUACCCAGUGACUUACAUAAUUCCAGAGAUUCUUUUUUUGGAAAUGGUGUCAAGGGCCCUGGUGUGGGGACAUAGGGGAGCAGCUCACUCCGGAGUGGCUGUCCAAGAAGAUUCCUCCAUGGUCCAUUCUCUUCUCUCCUGUGAUCCAGUUCCCCAAGUGCCCUCCAUCUGCAAAUGAAUAUUCAAGUGGUCCUGUUAUCACCAGAGAGAUCAUUUUGCUGGGUUGGAACAAGACCAGGCUAAAGGCACUAAAGUCUGGCAGAGGAAGUCCUGGUGCUGACACAGGUUAGACUGGAUCCAUUUUCCUGACCCAGUCUGAGGCACUUCGGAAGUCAGUUUCUCCUCCUCCUCCCCAUGUCAUUCAUGAAAUCAUUAAAUUUAGAGUUCAGAUUGAUAGUUUCACAGAUGAGGAAACUGACCCUAUGGGAGGCUAAGUGACUUCUCCCAAAUCACACAGGAAGCUCCAGGAAUUGAAUGUAGUAGACCUUCUGACUCCAAAUCUAAAUCUCUUCCCCUUUUACUGCAUUCACUACACUGGGUAACUGCUGGCUAAUUCCACAAUCCAGGUGUUUAGAUUUUGGUCUUCAGGUCUUGGACAAUUUAAGAAACAGAUUCAGGGGCAGCUAGAUAGCACAGUAGAUAAAGUACCAGGCCAGGAGUUGGGAAGAUCAGAGUUCCAAUCUAGACAUGUCCUAGCUGUGUGACUCUGGGCAACUCACUUAACUCCAUUUGCCUAGCCCUUGCCACAAUUCUGUCUUAGAAUUGAUUCUAAUACAGAAGGUAAGGGUUUAAAACAAAACAAAACAAAACAAAGCAACAGGGUUAAAAACAAAAACAAAACAAAACCCAUACCAAAGUUAAAAGCAUUAAGUCCCAAAUCUGGGCCCAUUUGGACUCCUACUUUUCCUGGCAAUAUCUCUCUCUCUUUCUCUCUCUCUCUCUCUCUCUCUCUCACACACACACACACACACACACACACACACACACACAAGUCUUUAGUGGUGACAAGCUUAGGGCAAACUUCUACCUCUAGAUAAGGUUCAUAAAUCAAGGUUUGGCCCUUUCUCUCAGAGCUCCAUAGACAAGGUAACUUCAAUCACAGAUUCCCAUGUGAUAGCUUCUGCCUCAUUGGCUGGGUCCAAUAUAGGGUGCACUAUAGCAAAUAAUAAGAGGAGAGGCAUAGGAACAGAUGACUUAGUGAGAGCAAACAGACUGGGUGGCCAGCCCCUUGCAACAGAGAUUAGUGAGGGUUACCUCCACUGUUAGUUACUUUACCAGAAUCAAUGUAAAAAAAAAUAAAAUCUACAACUGGGGGACAGCUGGGUGGCUCAGUGGAUUGAAAGCCAGGCCUACAGACAGGAGGUCCUGGGUUCAAAUAUGACCUCAGACACUUCCUAGCUGUGUGAUCCUUUACCCCCAUUGCCUAGCCCUUACCAAUCUUCUGCCUUAGAACCAAUAUAUAGUAUUGAUGCUGAGAAGAUAAGGGUUAAAAAAAGAAAAGGAACAGUUGCUCUAUAGCCAAGGGUCUGGAUCAAAUUCCUGUUUGUUGUAUACUAAAAAAUCUUUUGCAAACUCUUAGUUUCUUCAUGUUAUUUUAAGUAUGUGGAAGGGGUGGGUGGUCAUCAACUAAAUUAGAGAAAAUAUUUAACUUUUCACUUCUGGACUUCUAGGAAAAACUUAGGCAAAGUCAACAGUACACUGUCCCGGUAAAUGAGAUUUGGAGGGCAUCAACGUUGUUAGGUGGCUGCCAAGCUGCUUGGGGGUUGAGGGGAAGGGCUAGUGGUUAUGCAAAGUGACAUGGGACUGAUUUUAAAUCAGAUGACAAGCAUUUCUUAGUACAUUUCAACCAAAUAUGUAUCCAGAGUGAAAUCAAUUGGGCCAUCAUUUCCAUUUGGUCAGUUAAUGAAGAGAGUGCCACCCUCUUUUCCUUUCCCUUUCUCCUCAUUGUUGGGGUAUAUAUAAUAGGCUCAUUCUAUUUGCUGAACUGUUGAACUGAACAAAACCAGCUUAAUGAUGACAAGAAUGUCCUAAUGAUUCCCAUGAACAGUGCUCUAUUUUAACACGACAGUUCUCUUUCUUCCCCUGUUAUCCCUGGUUAAUUACCUCCCCACCCCCACAAAUGUUGGCAGCCAGAGACCCCAUUCCACCAAUCACUGUCAGGUAGCACAGGAUAAGCAUUCAAAUUUGCUGCGCCUUGAUUCCCUCAGUUAUGAUCAUGACAUUUUCCACUACCUGCCUUCAUAGAUUUAUUGGGAAGAAGAAACUUUAUAAACCUUUGUCAGUCAUACUUAAGAGCAGUAGUCUGUCUGCUGAGGACAAAGUUGUGCAGGUUAGGGUCUGAGAUGCUUAGAGCUAAGCUUCCUAAUUGAAUAACCAGGUUCUCUUCCUUUUAGUUCAGCAAAAUUUUGCCUAGAAGACUUUGUCCUCUCUCCUGCCGGUGAUAAUGAUGUGGUAAAACGGAGCUCCUGUUCCCAGUGAACA